rnacentral:rRNA from 1 species
UACGUAGGGUGCAAGCGUUGUCCGGAAUUAUUGGGCGUAAAGAGCUCGUAGGCGGCCUGUCGCGUCGGCUGUGAAAACCCGGGGGCUCAACCCCGGGCCUGCAGUCGAUACGGGCAGGCUAGAGUUCGGCAGGGGAGACUGGAAUUCCUGGUGUAGCGGUGAAAUGCGCAGAUAUCAGGAGGAACACCGGUGGCGAAGGCGGGUCUCUGGGGCCGAUACUGACGUGAGGAGCGAAAGCGUGGGGGAGCGAACAGG